GACGAACGCUGGCGGUGUGCCUUAUGCAUGCAAGUCGAACGAGCCCCGCAAGGGGCGUAGUGGCAAACGGCUGAGUAACACGUGAGUGACCAACCCUUUAGUGGGGGAGUAAUCCGCCGAAAGGCGGUGUAAUACCGCAUACGAUCCCGAGGCUACAUGGCCUUGGGAGGAAAGCCGCAAGGCGCUGAAGGACGGGCUCGCGGCCUAUCAGGUAGUUGGCGGGGUAACGCCCACCAAGCCUAGACGGUAGCUGGUCUGAGAGGACGACCAGUCAGAC
rnacentral:rRNA from 1 species